rnacentral:rRNA from 1 species
AACGAACGCUGGCGGCAUGCCUAACACAUGCAAGUCGAACGAGACCUUCGGGUCUAGUGGCGCACGGGUGCGUAACGCGUGGGAACCUGCCCUUAGGUUCGGAAUAACUCCCCGAAAGGGGUGCUAAUACCGGAUAAUGUCUUCGGACCAAAGAUUUAUCGCCUUUGGGUGGGCCCGCGUUGGAUUAGCUAGUUGGUAGGGUAAAAGCCUACCAAGGCGGCGAUCCAUAGCUGGUCUGAGAGGAUGAUCAGCCACACUGGGACUGGGACCCGGCCCAGACGCCUACGGGAGGCAGCAGUUGGGAAUAUUGGACAGUGGGCGAGAGCCUGAUCCAGCAAUGCCGCGUGGGUGAUGAAGGCCUUAGGGUUGUAAAGCUCUUUUACCCGGGAUGAUAUUGACAUUACCGGGAGAAUAGGCUCCGGCUACCUCCGU